ACGGUGCACGCUUGGUUUGAGGGGAAUCGACCCCCCUUGUGCCGGAGCUAACGCGUUAAGCGUGCCGCUUGGGAAGUACGGUCGCAAGACUAAAACUCAAAGAAAUUGACGGGGACCCGCACAAGCGGUGGAGUAUGUGGCUUAAUGCGAUGCAACGCGAAGAACCUUACCAAGGCUUGACAUGCAUCUCUAAACACGUGAAAGCGUGUGACCCUUCGGGGAAUUUGCACAGGUGCUGCAUGGCCGUCGUCAGCUCGUGUCGUGAGAUGUUGGGUUAAGUCCCGCAACGAGCGCAACCCUUGUGAUUAGUUGCCAGCACGUUAAGGUGGGAACUCUAGUCAGACUGCCCAGAUCAACUGGGAGGAAGGUGGGGACGACGUCAGGUCAGUAUGGCCCUUACGCCUUGGGCUGCACACGUACUACAAUGCCCAGCACAAUGAGAACCGAUACCGCGAGGUGGAGGAAAUCUGUAAAACUGGGCUCAGUUCGGAUUGGAGGCUGCAACUCGCCUCCAUGAAGUUGGAAUCGCUAGUAAUGGGGCAUCAUCUACGGCCCCGUGAAUACGUUCCCGGGUCUUGUACACACCGCCCGUCACAUCAUGGAAGCCGGUCGCACCCGAAGUGCUCGUACCAACC
rnacentral:rRNA from 1 species